GCACAAGCGGUGGAGCAUGUGGUUUAAUUCGACGCAACGCGAAGAACCUUACCUGGGCUCGAAAUGUACAGGAAUCCGGUGGAAACAUCGGCGCCCAGCAAUGGGCCUGUAUAUAGGUGCUGCAUGGCUGUCGUCAGCUCGUGUCGUGAGAUGUUGGGUUAAGUCCCGCAACGAGCGCAACCCUUACCCCCAGUUGCCAUCAUUCAGUUGGGCACUCUGGUGGAACCGCCUCGGAUAACGGGGAGGAAGGUGGGGAUGACGUCAAGUCCUCAUGGCCUUUAUGUCCAGGGCUACACACGUGCUACAAUGGCCGGUACAAACCGUCGCAAAGCCGCGAGGUGGAGCUAAUCGGAAAAAGCCGGCCUCAGUUCGGAUCGCAGUCUGCAACUCGACUGCGUGAAGCUGGAAUCGCUAGUAAUCGUGGAUCAGAAUGCCACGGUGAAUACGUUCCCGGGC
rnacentral:rRNA from 1 species